GUAAAGUGCCUGAUUUAAAAAGGACUAUCAUGAUAGGAUAAAUAAUGUAGAAUAUACUACCUUUACUA
rnacentral:tRNA from 1 species